rnacentral:rRNA from 1 species
CCAAGAGGCUUGCCUCUUGGGGUUGUAGGACAUUCUAUACGGAGUUACAAAGGAACGAGGUAGACGAAGCGACCUGGAAAGGUCCGUCACAGAGGGUAAUAACCCCGUAGUCGAAACUUCGUUCUCUCUUGAAUGUAUCCUGAGUACGGCGGAACACGUGAAAUUCCGUCGGAAUCUGGGAGGACCAUCUCCCAAGGCUAAAUACUCCCUAGUGAUCGAUAGUGAAC